CUAAAUUGGGGACAGGGGUGAGCACACAAUAAUAUGCUGUAUUAUUCAACAUCUUUAAACUCUUCCCACAGACUCAAAAGGAAAAUGUAUCUUGUUAGUUCUUUUUAUAGAAGAUAUAAAUCUUUUAGCUUUUGGAUCAUUGAAGGCGAUGUUUCCAAUAAACUGCUGCCUUCCUUCCACCACAGGCUGGACACACCCUGGCAGAACCAACCCAUGGGGAGGCUGCUCUUUGAUCUGCCCCUUCGCACACUUCUUUCCGAGAUGAUGGCAAUUCGUCUUCACUCCUGAUGCUGUCUGUCGGCCAGUUUAUUGUUUCUGCCUGAUCUUCGGCAGUCUGUGACACCCCCCCCUUCAUAUUCCUUCCUGUCCAACCCAUUCUUUAUACUUCCAUAGAGUGAUUUUUCUAAUAGUUGAUAUUCCCGUAUUUAAAUUCCUUCAAAGUAAGAUCCCAACACCUUAGAAUGGUGCAAUAAUUGCUAUGUGACUCCUCUGCAGAUCACCUGGAGUUGGCACAGACUCAUAGGUUAAGGGCACGGUCCCCCAUAAGACUGCUCUCAGUUCAGAUGCCAGGCACAAGUUCAGAGAUCCCCAGGCUACCCACACUUCUGACCAACUGGCUACAAAUUUGGUCAGUUACCUAAGGCAUGAUCCUUUGCUAGAACAUUUGAUAAACAGAACUCUCAGGAAAGUGGUAUACUCACAGUGAUAGUUUAAUGAGAAAGGGUUACACAUCAGGACCAGCCACAUGAAGAGACACAUAGGGCGAGGUCGGGGCGUGUCCUGGAUGUUGGGCUUCUGUGCACUUUCCCCGUAGAAUCAGGACGCACCGCCCUCCCGCACACUCAUGCACUCACCAAGCAGGAAGCUCACUGGGGCCUUGGUGUCUCGAGUUUUAUGGGAGUUUCAUUAUGUGGCAUGAUUGAACUCCAUCUCCAGCCCCCGUCCACUGCCUAGCGGUCAGCUGGCUCAAAACCCCAACCUUCUAAUCACAUGGUCCGUGGGGAGUCCACAUCCUGAGUCGUAUUGUUAGCAUAAACUCAGGUGUGGUCAGGGACCCACCAUAAGUAAUAAAGAAUCACUCGGGAAAUUCCAAAGAUUUGGUGUUUCCCUCUGAAGAACCAGGGACCAGGACCAGAAAAAUUCUCUGUCGUACAACACACGGCAUUCAGGUCCUACCCCAGCCAUUCUUCCCAGCUCACCCCAUUCUCUCUCAUUUCAGUGCCCGGGUUGAGUGUCCUUGAACACACCUUGCUGUUGUAGACCCUGCACAUGCUAUUCCCUCUGCCUACCUUUGUUUUCUCCUUGGUCUAUCCAGUGAAGUCCUCCUCAUCUGUCAAGACACAGAACGUGUCCUCUGGCCCUCCUUCACUGCCCCUUCCGGCAUCUCACUCCUCAUGCUCUGGACAGUGGCAGUUCAUCAUUAUAGACGUCCCCCUUAGCUUCUGAUGGGUGAGCAGAGCGACCAUCGAAGAUCUUGUGGCUGACAGUCCUGCCUGGCCAUUCGUGCUUUGGCGAACUCGUGCAUAACAUUGCUGAGAUGAUACAGGCGGUUUCCUCUGCUCCUCCACUGCCUCCUGGGCUAUUACAUCUUGCAGUCCAGACACAAUAAGAGACACCGUGUAGCUUCUCUUUCUCAGUUCUGGUUCCAGAGUUCCUGGAAGAGAAGUUUUCGUGGCCUGGCUUGCCUCAGAGCCGAGACUGAGCACCUACAGCCUGAAAACUUGGCUGAGUUGAGUCACAUAGUUACCUUGACCAACCAAUCAGACGGUGCCAGGAGAAAAAGGGCUCAUUGCACUAACAUGACCACAUUGUAAAUUCAGAAAACAGGGUGCUAAUU